rnacentral:rRNA from 1 species
UACGUAGGGGGCAAGCGUUGUCCGGAAUUAUUGGGCGUAAAGCGCGUGUAGGCGGUCCGGUAAGUCGGUUGUGAAAGUCCAGGGCUCAACCCUGGGAUGCCGAUCGAUACUGCCGGACUAGAGUCCGGAAGAGGCGAGUGGAAUUCCCGGGUGUAGCGGUGAAAUGCGUAGAUAUCUGGAGGAACACCGGUGGCGAAGGCGGCAUCCUGGACCGAGAUUGACGCUGAGGCGCGAAAGCCAGGGGAGCAAACGGG